rnacentral:rRNA from 1 species
AUUGAACGCUGGCGGCAGGCCUAACACAUGCAAGUCGAGCGGAUGAAGGGAGCUUGCUCCUGGAUUCAGCGGCGGACGGGUGAGUAAUGCCUAGGAAUCUGCCUGGUAGCGGGGGAUAACGUCCGGAAACGGGCGCUAAUACCGCAUACGUCCUGAGGGAGAAAGUGGGGGAUCCUCGGACCUCACGCUAUCAGAUGAGCCUAGGUCGGAUUAGCUAGUUGGUGGGGUAAAGGCCUACCAAGGCGACGAUCCGUAACUGGUCUGAGAGGAUGAUCAGUCACACUGGAACUGAGACACGGUCCAGACUCCUACGGGAGGCAGCAGUGGGGAAUAUUGGACAAUGGGCGAAAGCCUGAUCCAGCCAUGCCGCGUGUGUGAAGAAGGUCUUCGGAUUGUAAAGCACUUUAAGUUGGGAGGAAGGGCAGUAAGUUAAUACCUUGCUGUUUUGACGUUACCAACAGAAUAAGCACCGGCUAACUUCGUG